UGGGGAAUAUUGCACAAUGGACGGAAGUCUGAUGCAGAAACGCCGCGUGCGGGAUGACGGCCUUCGGGUUGUAAACCGCUUUUUCUCAUGACGAAGUUUUUUGACGGUAGUGGGGGAAGAAGCACCGGCUAACUACGUGCUAGCAGCCGCGGUGAUACGUAGGGUGCGAGCGUUGUCCGGAAUUAUUGGGCGUAAAGAGCUUGUAGGCGGUUUGUCGCGUCGAUAGUGCAAACUCAGUGCUUAACGCUGAGCCUGCUGUUGAUACGGGCAGACUAGAGGAAGGUAGUGGAGAAUGGAAUUCCCGGUGUAGCGGUGGAAUGCGCAGAUAUCGUGAGGAACACCGGUGGCGAAGGCGGUUCUCUGGGCCUUUCCUGACGCUGAGAAGCGAAAGCGUGGGGAUCGAACAGG
rnacentral:rRNA from 1 species